rnacentral:rRNA from 1 species
GUGGGGAAUAUUGGACAAUGGGCGAAAGCCUGAUCCAGCCAUGCCGCGUGUGUGAAGAAGGUCUUCGGAUUGUAAAGCACUUUAAGUUGGGAGGAAGGGUAGUAACCUAAUACGUUGCUACUUUGACGUUACCGACAGAAUAAGCACCGGCUAACUUCGUGCCAGCAGCCGCGGUAAUACGAAGGGUGCAAGCGUUAAUCGGAAUUACUGGGCGUAAAGCGCGCGUAGGUGGUUCAGUAAGUUGGAAGUGAAAUCCCCGGGCUCAACCUGGGAACUGCUUUCAAAACUGCUGAGCUAGAGUACGGUAUAGGGUGGUGGAAUUUCCUGUGUAGCGGUGAAAUGCGUAGAUAUAGGAAGGAACACCAGUGGCGAAGGCGACCACCUGGACUGAUACUGACACUGAGGUGCGAAAGCGUGGGGAGCAAACAGGAUUAGAAACCCGGGUAGUCC